rnacentral:rRNA from 1 species
UGUAAGCGUAUACCAAAGUUGUUGCAGUUAAAACGCUCGUAGUCGGAAUUUGGCAGUUCCGGAUGUGUGCACGUCGUGUGCGCACUUCGCGGGGAUUGCUUUUGUGGUCUUGCGUAGGAUGAGGCACUUUUAUUAGUGAACGUCCUCACGCAACCACUUUUUACUGUGAGAAAAUCAGAGUGCUCAAGGCAGGCAUUUGCCGUGAAUGUAUUAGCAUGGAAUAAUAGAAUAGGACUUGGUUCUAUUUUGUUGGUUUGUUGGGACUGAGUAAUGAUUAAGAGGGACAGUUGGGGGCAUUUGUAUUUCGGUGCUAGAGGUGAAAUUCUUAGAUUACCGAAAGACAAACUGCUGCGAAAGCGUCUGCCAAGGAUGUUUUCAUUGA